GGGGCCAAGUCAGGAAGGGAAGGCUGAGCACUGAGACCCCAGACACCAGGGCACAAAGAAGUGACAGCUCCCCAGUGACACCGACUCCCCCAGGAUUUGGAAGAGACUGAGGACACGCAGGUCACUGAUUAGGUUGUCCCCCAUUGCCAGAACCAGGUUGAGCAGCGCUUUACCUCUCAUCGGCCCACCAACUUCUUGCAUCAGAUAGAGCUCAUCCACGCAUUUAUUACACAUAAGCGAGGUGUGCACCUUCAGGUGAGCGCUGGGAUCUUUAGAGGAUCUGACCACAGCCCCUAAUCCAGAUUGAAGGGCAGAACUGGAUUGACGGGCACACCAGCUGGCACCGUGUUCAAGAUGUUCAUCAUUCUCCAGCCACCCGACAGCCCCAGCAAGGUACAGAGCUGACAUCAUUACACUGGAGACAUGAAUGACCCAUUUGGUGUCAAGACUUCCUUCUUUCUCCCUAGAUAUAUGCUCCAUAACCUGGAAAGAUGGGUCUUAGCCUGCAGGGAUGAGCAUUAUGAAAGUACCUGAAACCCAGGUUUUUAUGGGAUUGAGAUAGGACACAAAUUACUGACUGUGGGGAAAUUUUUGACAGAACUGAAUCAGUACUUUUGUAAAUGUGGGCCCUUUCUUUAGGUCUGCCCUGAAACGCUGAAUUACUGCCACUUCCAACGGGGAAUAUCCUGAAUUACCUUCCUAGUGAGGAGUGACUUGGGUUGGGGAGAAAUUAAGAUCCUUUUGGUAUGAAAAAGCAUGUGAAAGGCUAGGAAAUAGAAAUAAAUCUGCCAUGAAAGAAAUGAAUCCUUCCAUUUAUAUGGAGAAUAUUGGCAGCAGUAAGAGUCAAUGUCCAUCCCUGUAUGCUGAAAAUGUGCGGUGUUGUAGCCUCUGCCUCCUUAUAA